CCUCUUUGUACCUCUGGUAGAAUUCGGCUGUGAAUCCAUGUGGUCCUGGACUUUUUUUGGUUGGUAAGCUAUUAAUUAUUGCCUCAAUUUCAGAUCCUGUUAUGGGUCUAUUCAGAGAUUCAACUUCUUCCUGGUUUAGUCUUGGGAGGAUGUAUGUGUCGAGGAAUUUAUCCAUUUCUUCUAGAUUUUCUAGUUUAUUUGCGUAGAGGUGUUUACAGUAAUCUCUGAUGGUAGUUUGUAUUUCUGUGGGAUCGGUGGUGAUAUCCCCCUUAUCAUUUUUUAUUGCAUCUAUUUGAUUCUUCUCUCUUUUCUUCUUUAUUAGUCUUGCCAGCAGUCUAUCAAUUUUGUUGAUCUUUAUUUUUUAUUUUAAGUCCUGGGACACAUGUGCAGAAUGUGCAGGUUUGUUACAUAGUAUACAUGUGCCAUGGUGGUUUGCUGCACCUAUCAACCCGUCAUCUAGGCUUUAAGCCCUGCAUGCAUUAGGUAUUUGUCCUAAUGCUCUCUCUCUCCUUGCCCUCAACCCCUUGACAGGCCCUGGUGUGUGAUGUUCCCCUCCCUGUGUCUAUGUAUUCUCAUUGUUCAACUCCCACUUAUGAGGGAGAACAUGGGGUGUUUGGUUUUCUGUUCCUGUUAGUUUGCUGAGCAUGAUGGCUUCCAGCUUCAUCCAUGUCCCUGCAAAGGACAUGAACUCAUUUCUUUUUAUGGCUGCAUAGUAUUCCAUGGUGCCACAUUUUCUUUAUCCAGUCUAUGAUUGAUGGGUAUUUGGGUAAAUAAUUUCGUUAUUUACCCAGUAGUCAUUCAGGAGCAGGCUGUUCAAUUUCCAUGUAGGUGUGCAGUUUUGAGUGAGUUUUUUAAUCCUGAGUUCUAAUUUGAUUGCACUGUGGUUUGAGAGACUAUUUGUUAUGAUUUCUGUUCGUUUGCAUUUGCUGAGGAGUGCUUCAGUUCAAUGGGUUAGAACAUGCUCCUUUAGCUCAGAGGAGUUUGUUAUUAUCCACCUCCUGAAGCCUACUUCUGCUACUGGAGUACAAAAAAAUACUCCUGCAGCUAGCUCAGUGUCUGCUCAAACAGUUGCCCAGUUUUGUGCUUGAAACCCAGGGCCCUGGUGGUGUAGGCAUAUGAGAGAAUCUCCUGAUCUGCAGAUUGAAAAAACCGUGGGAAAAGUGUAGUAAUUCAGUGGGGUAGCACAGUCCCUCACGGCUUCCCUUGGAUGGGGGGAGGGAGGUCCCCGGCUCCUUGUACUUCCCGGGUGAAGCAAUGCCCUACCCUGCUUGUGCUUGCCCUCCGUGGGUUCCAUUUUAGUGAUUGCAGUGUGCCUAAAGCAUAUAAGGAUAAACAAUGAAUUAAUAAACAGUUGGGACAGCAGGAUUAAUAAUCUGAAAAUUGUAAAAUAGGAAGGGUUUUUGAAAACAACAGUAAAGCUUGAGGAACUCAGUUUUACCUGCCUUUUUAUCUUACUUCUCACUCAAUGUAGAUAUUUAAAAAAUAGUACAAAACAUACAUAAUUUCAGAAUAUACAUUUUAAAAUAUUUUAUUCCAGAAAUUUAUACUUUUUCAUUUUCAAGAAUAAAACUCAGGAAUGGAAACAGUUCUCAAAAAGUUAUGUAAAAUCACCAAUACUCUUCUUGAAAUUCCCUACCCCACCACUGUGUCCUUCCUGUUAGUAGAUGAUCCUGUCUUCUACUUUACAAAGAAAAUUGAAGCUUUUAGGUAAACUCCUUUGAAUUUUACUCCCAAAUCUACAUAGAUUCUCUAUAUCUGUGUCCUUCCUGACUUUAAGUCCGCUUGUCUUGGAAAAAGAGGUGGCUUCAGAAUCUUUUUUUUUUUUUUUUGAGACAGAGUUUUGUUCUUGUUGCCCAGGCUGGAGUGCAAUGGCACGAUCUCGGCUCACUGCAACCUCUGCCUCAUGGGUUCAAGCGAUUCUCCUGCCUCAGCCUCCCUAGUAGGUGGGAUUACAGGCGCCCACCACCACGCCCAGUUAAUUUUUUUUUGUAUUUUUAGUAGAGAUGGGGUUUCACUAUGUUGGCCAGGCUGGUCUCGAACUCCUGACCUCAGGCGAUCCACCCGCUUUGGCCUCCCAAAGUGCUGGGAUUAUAGGCGUGAGCCACUGCGCCCGGCCCAGAUUCUUAUAUAUUCAAUUGUGUAUGGUUCAAUUCUCUUUAGAUGUCUCACAGGAACCCCAAAUUCAAUAUGACCCCAAAUGGUAACUACUUCUAAAUCUUUUACUGAAUUUCUUAUUUUGGUGACUGUCACUAUCACUCACCCAACUACCCAACUCAGAAACAAAGCAGUCAUCCUUUACUCUUUCUUUUCUUCCAAACUCCAUACCUGAUCAGGAAUCAAAUCCUGUAAUACUGUAUCUGUAAUAUCUCUUAUAUAUGUCCCUUCCUCUCAAGUCUCAUUGAUAAUGAUUACCUCUGUCUUUUAUUGUCUUUUGCCUGGACAGUGACAAUUUGCUUCCUAACUGCUCUCCCUGACUCCUCUCUUGCACACACACCUUCAUCCAUUGAUCCAUUCUCUAUAUUGCUGAAGCAAUCUUUCUUUCUUUUUUCUUUUUUUUUUUUUUUUGGAGACAGGGUGUUGAUUUGUCACCCAGGCUGGAUUACAUGGUACAAUUGUAGCUCACUGCAGCCUCAACCUCCUGGGCUCAAGUGAUCCUCCCACCUCAGUCCCCCAAGUAGCUGAGACUACAGGUAUGUGCCACCACACCUGGUUAACUUUUUUUUUUUUACUUUUUUUUUUUUUUUUUUGUAGAGAUGCAGUUUCACCAUGUUGCCCAGGCUGGUCUCAAACUCUCGAGCUCAGGCAAUCCACCUGCCUCAGCCCCCUAAAGUGAUGGAUUACAGUCAUGAUCCACUGCACCCAGCAAAUCUUUCUAAUUUGCACAUCUAAUAACAUAGUCUGUAGCUUAAAAUCCUGGAAUGACUCCAUACUCCACAGAAUAAAAUUCACACUCCUUUAUUUGGUAGUCAAGGCCCUCUAUGAUUUGUCCCCUGUGUUAGUUCCUGUUGUUGCUGUAACAAUUUACCAAAAACUUGGUGGUUUAAAACAAUACAGCUUUUUUCUCUUAAUGGUUCUGGAGAGUGAAAGUCUGAAAUCAGUUUUAUUGGGCUAAAGUCAAGGUGUCAGCAGGGCUGGUUUCUUCAGGAGGCUCUGGCAGAGAAUCUGUUCCCUUGCCUUCCACUUCUAGAGGCCACUUAUAUUCUUUGGCUCAUGUCCCUUCUUCCAUCCUCAAAGCUCUCAUUGUAGCAUCUUGUGUCCAUUGUCACACUGCCUUCUACUUUUUCUGUCAUCAAGUCUCCCUCUUAAGGACAGUUGUAAUUACAUUUAAGGUAUACUUAGAUAAGGAUAAUCUCCCCAUCUCAGGGUUCCUAAUCAUAUCUCCAAAGUCACUUUUCCCAUAUAAGUUAACAUUCACAGGUUCUGAG
rnacentral:lncRNA from 1 species